UAGAGAUUACACGAGAGUCCGAGACUGGAGAGUUUAACGGCUGUCUGCGUGAUCAUCGAGAAAGUGCAUCGAGAGCCCUUCAAAUUAAAAAUAGUGAUGGUGAUCUUGUCAAUGCUGAGAUUUUAAUGCAUCAACAGCCAUUACAUCUGUCUGGAUCAGGAUUGAAGAAGAAUCAGACAGCAAGGGUUGUCAGAUCAGAAACGUAAUAACACAAACAUAAGAAACUUCACAGGGCUGUGACAGUGACAGUAUUUUACCACCGCGAUGGUAAUGCACCAAUUCACCACUGUGGUGCGGUGGUUAUAGAAUGUGUUUGUGUGAGGGGGGAGG